UCCUGGUUUCCCAGGCAGUCCCACCAGAGUGCCUUCCGAAGAAGUAGCAACUGGCAGCAAGGGUUGCGCUUGUUAAAGGACUUAACCCAACAUCUCACGACACGAGCUGACGACAGCCAUGCAGCACCUGUGUACUCGUCCAAUAAAUUGGAAAACUGUAUUUCUACAGCGGUCAGGUACAUGUCAAGCCCAGGUAAGGUUCCUCGCGUAGUAUCGAAUUAAACCACAUGUUCCACCGCUUGUGCGGUCCCCCGUCAAUUUCUUUGAGUUUUAAUCUUGCGACCGUACUCCCCAGGCGGAUCACUUAGCGCGUUAGCUACGACACUGAUCCAGCAAAGCCGGACCAACGUCUAGUGAUCAUCGUUUACAGCGUGGACUAC
rnacentral:misc_RNA from 1 species